GACCACUAUUAAAAUAUAGUUGGCCUAUUAAGUUUGGAAUUUGGUUCGUAUUACUCGAUACGAGAGUGUUUAAUUAUUUUGACCCUAAUUCUCAAAAUACUUGAAAUCCCAAUCUGUUCCUGCGCGCGCCGAAGAAAAAUCCCCAAAUACUUGAAAGCCCUAAAAUCUGUUCGCGCCUCUCUCAAAACAGAAGGGGCGCUGAAAGGAAAUCUCAAUCUGCUGGCGCUUCUCUCUCACUCUUGCUCUCUCCUGCCUACAGCUCUUCCCAACGGUUGGAGACAGUUGCAAUGCCCCCCUAGAUCAGACUUCUCCACAAGCACAUCAAAGAUCAUCGCACGCAAGUCAUGACAUCGAAUAUUCUGAUCGAGGUAAUAGGACGUUCUAGCAAAAAGCAUGAUUUCAACUUGUCAUUUUGAAAGCUCUCUCGGGAAGAUCUUGUUAAGGAUGGCAUUGUCGAUUUUUGAUUAAUUAUCUA